UUUUCUCUCCUACUCACGCGGCAUCAUAUUUAUAUCAUGUUUCAGAUACUCCAGGAAUGCCAGUCUGAGUAUGCCAUGUUGCUGCAGAGGAAAGAGAUGGCUUCACUGCUGACGGGGUCCCAUCAAUUGAUGUGUCAAGAAGAAGUUGCAGAGCCUUGGUCAAACCAGAGGUUGCCAGGAUGUCAAACCCUGGGUGGGAAGUAUAAUAAACCAUCUGUACUGGGCUGUGGUCUCGACGCCUCCUGACAAUGUUCAACUUGUGGUGGACAAAUGGACAUCAGUUAUGGAUCACAUCCACAACAGGCAUACCGGGUUCGAGGGACUGUUCUCUUCUUGUGCACACGGAGUCUUGGAAGGCAGGGAACAGCCUGUGUCACUUUUCAUACAAAGGGAUGGAGAGCAGGCUAUGCUGAAGAGCUGAUGCGGAUGGUGGAGGCCAUGUGUCGAGUUGAGGACUACAGCUGUGAUGACUUUGACAUUCCAGACCUAUCCCCUGUUCCAGAGCCACUGAGUGCAUCAUGUGAAAAGCCGGAUAAGAGGGCAGCAGUCAGUACACACACACACAACACGCUUUAGCGCCACAAACAACCCUUCAAUAUAGACAUUACCAAAAGUUUGAUGCCGGCAAUUCCAAAACCACAGUACAGGGUGUGUUGGAAGGACACUUUUUUCUCUCUUUUUUCACACUUAUGCAUACAAAUGGUUCCAACUCAGGUGACUUAUCUGAGUAAAAAGUAGACCAAUGUACUUGUCGUAUGUUCAGCUGAUUCUCCACUGGUUGGAUUGAGUUUGCGGUGAUAGUAUGUGUAGCUCUGCUCCAGCAGGGGGCACCAAAGCUACACACUCACCAUCUGUUGUGAACCAGGCCAGGUCCUCGUUAGGU